rnacentral:rRNA from 1 species
CCUACGGGUGGCAGCAGUGAGGAAUAUUGGUCAAUGGGCGCGAGCCUGAACCAGCCAAGUAGCGUGAAGGAUGACUGCCCUACGGGUUGUAAACUUCUUUUAUAAAGGAAUAAUGUGAGGCACGUGUGCCUUUUUGUAUGUACUUUAUGAAUAAGGAUCGGCUAACGCCGUGCCAGCAGCCGCGGUAAUACGGAGGAACCGAGCGUUAUCCGGAUUUAUGGGGUUUAAAGGGAGCGUAGAUGGGUUGUUAAGUCAGUUGUGAAAGUUUGCGGCUCAACCGUAAAAUUGCAAUGGAUACUGGCAGGCUUGAGUACAGGUGAGGUAAGCGGAAUUCGUGGUGUAGCGGUGAAAUGCGUAGAUAUCACGAAGAACUCCGAUUGCGAAGGCAGCUUACUAAACUGCCACUGACAUUGAUGCUCGAAAGUGUGGGUAUCAAACAGGAUUAGAUACCCGGGUAGUC